rnacentral:rRNA from 1 species
UGCCUACGGGACGCAGCAGUAGGGAAUCUUCCACAAUGGACGAAAGUCUGAUGGAGCAACGCCGCGUGAGUGAAGAAGGGUUUCGGCUCGUAAAGCUCUGUUGGUAGUGAAGAAAGAUAGAGGUAGUAACUGGCCUUUAUUUGACGGUAAUUACUUAGAAAGUCACGGCUAACUACGUGCCAGCAGCUGCGGUAAUACGUAGGUGGCAAGCGUUAUCCGGAUUUAUUGGGCGUAAAGCGAGCGCAGGCGGUUGCGUUGGUCUG